rnacentral:rRNA from 1 species
AGAGCUCAAAUUUGAAAGCUGGCGUCUUCGGCGUCCGCGUUGUAAUCUCGAGACGUGUUUUCCGUGCGGCUCUAUGGACAAGUCCCUUGGAACAGGGCAUCGUAGAGGGUGAAAAUCCCGUACUUGCCAUGGAAGUACCGUGCUUUGUGAUACACGCUCCAAGAGUCGAGUAGUUUGGGAUUGCUGCUCAAAGUGGGUGGUAGACUCCAUCUAAAGCUAAAUAUCGGGGAGAGACCGAUAGCGAACAAGUACCGUGAGGGAAAGAUGAAAAGCACUUUGGAAAGAGAGUUAAAAGUACGUGAAAUUGUCGAAAGGGAAGCACUUGAAGUCAGCCAUGCUGCUUGAGACUCAGCCUGGCUUUUGCUUGGUGUAUUUCUCGGUGGCAAGCCAGCAUUGGUUUGUGUCGUCGGAGAAGCGUAUGGGGAAUGUGGCAUCCUCGGAUGUGUUAUAGCCCUGUGCAGGAUACGACGACGUAGACCAAGGAACGCAGUGUGCCCUCUGGGCGGGUCUUCG